UUACCAAAAAUUCAAAAUUUUAAUUUAUUAAUGUAGUAACAAAAACAAAUUCAAAAUUCGUGUAAUCUUCCAAACUCAAAAACAGUAGUGUAAUUUUUCAAAGUUUUUUUGACAGAUGUCAAAAAAAAAAAGUUUUUUUGACAAAAUAAAAAAUUUUGAAAAUAAAUAUUUGAACUCAAAAUGAUAAUAUUUCUAAUUUUACGAAAGACAAAAAUCAUAUAUGAUAAGGAAUAACUUUUUGAAAUGACCACAAAAAAAACUAUAUAUGUUGUAGAAGCUAAAGCAAUCAAAUAUUUUGAAAUCUUAAUUAAAAAUAAAAAUGAAAACUUAAUAUCAUAACAUCCAAAAAAUAUCCUACAACAAUAAAAUUUAAUAAAAUAAUAUGAUUGAUGCUAUUAUGUAUAAAAUUUACUAGAAUAAUAGGGAUAUAUUAUUUAAACAAAACAGUGUUUUUACUUAUAAAUCCCUUUAUAAAUCCCGUAAAAUAAUAAAAUUAUAUAUGUUAAAGUAUAAUUUUUUAAACACAAUAUGUAAAUAUAAACUAUCUUAAACAUAUAUAUUCUCUAUUAUAUAUAUAAAUAAAAUUUAAAAAUUUAUUAUAGCAAACUGUAUAAAUUAAAGAAAAACGUAUUUUGGAGAAGGUUAUCUAUUUAAUUAUUUCAUAUUGUUAUUUUACUCUACCUAACUCGAAAAUAUAUUAGUACGUAAUAUAAAUUAAUAACAAAGUAAAAUGUGUUAAACAAAUCACUAUAUAUUAAUAAUACCGAAUAAUAAAUAUGAACAAUAAUAUUAUAGAGUUACGUAUUAUAUAAUACUAAAAUAGAAUAUAUAUAUAUAUAUAUAUAUAUUUAUCAAAAAAUAAAAACUAGAAUAUAUAUAGAUAAAAUAUUUCUAAUAGUAUUAAAUACAUUUAUAAAAUAAAAAAAUAGGACCCAUUUCUCUGAGAUAGCAUUAGAUUGGAACGCCAUUGACAAUGAACCAUAACUCCAUUUCUUUCUGUACUUCAUAUUUCAGAAGAACAAACAUCCACAUUCCUAUCCACUUGUAUUGUGUGUGUUUUCAAAUGAAAAAAAAUCUAUAAACUGUGGAUGCUUGUAGAACUAGUCCAAUGAUCUGUCCGAUUCAGCUCUUUCGUUAGAAGACUUAUCGCCUUACUAAUAUACACUUUGAUGAAAUCUUAAUUACUUUCACAUACUCAGUUGGAGGAAAGUACAUCUUCAUCAAUUGCAUGGCUUCAGUUUCCUCCUCUGGAACAUGCACUCCAUAGAAAAACCGAACAAUCAAACAUUCAAAGUUUUUACUGGACUGUUCAUAGUUAUACAAUCAAACAGUCAAAGUUUACUAAGUCCUAAACAGUUAUACUAACCAAAUCAGUUGAAGUUUUCCUAAUUUUUUCAAAGUUUUGCCUGGUUAUUCAAUUUGAGUUCAUAGUUCACAGCUUCAAAAUCUCAAGCUUUCCCAAGCUCUUCAGACGGUUAGAGGUCAAACUCUAGGAAUAAACAAUAACAUGGGAUAAACUUUUUUAACAAUUUUUUUUAAAAAGAAAUUAUAAUUACAAAGUUUUAAAUUUAUUUUAAGAGGUUCUAAAAUUUUGGAAUUAAAAAGAUUUAUGACCCAACCCUAUACUGUUUUAGUAUGAAUAGUUGAAAUUUAUAUCAUAAUAUUUUAUAAAAAAUAUAAUUUUACUUUUUUUUUAUAUUAUAACUGCAUAGUUUACUUUUCAAUCUAAAUUUAUGAAUAGAAUGUGCAACUUUAUUUUGUGAUAUACUUUUUUUUGUGAAAAAUAAUUUUAAAUAUAUAAUACAAAGCUUUAUGGAGUACGAACAAACGAAUAUAUGACUUUGAAAAUUAUGAAAUUAUCUGUAAAAAUGGUAGAAGAAAUAAAAGAAGAAGAAGACCAUACAUGUUGACAUUAUUUUGUUCAAAAAACUAUAAACAUUUAAAAAUAUGGUUAAUGUUUAGAAUAUUUACCAUUAUCGAUGUAGAAAAAAACUUUAUAAAAAUGAAAUUAAACAUCCACGCAGUUGCGCAGAUCAAAAUCUAGUUUAUAGUUUACUUGGUGAGUAUUUCAUCCUUUUUCAUAUCUAUGAAUUUUAGUGUGUGGUAGGAUGAUGAAUCCUAUCACAUAAUGUCUUAACGCAUGGCAUAGUGCAGCUCAUUUUGCGUUUGGUCAUAACUGAUCCAGAAAUUUGCUUACAGUGAAAUCCUGCCUCUGUGUGCAUAUGUGUACUUAAUCAAAAAAUCUGCAUAACUUGGAGAUUAACUCUAGAUGCCCCUUUAACUCACGAAAAAUGCUCAAAUCUCCCAUCAAUAAAAUAUAGUUUUUUUAUCUAUUUAUUUUGAAAUACGAAAAUAGGCUAAAUACAUCUAUAACCCUAACAAAAUCACAUAAUUACAUGAUCCGACCACACGAACCCGGUCAACCCAAACAUGAACCCGGCCCACCCAAACACAUACGGGUAUAACCCUUUUCCUAAACCUAAACUCUGCGUUUGGACAGAAAGGAGACAGAAAAAAAAUUGUUGUGUCUUUCCUUUCUCUCCUCUUUUUCUCCUCGUGUUCUAUCUGAUUUCCAGAAACAGCUACAAAAUCGACAAACUCAUCGUUUCUUCUUCUUAUUCUUAUUCUUCUUCUUCUUCUUCUUCUUCUUCUGUUCUAAUAAAGACUUCAUCUUCUGAAUCGACAUCCUUCAUCCUGAGCAUGUGGAAGAGCUAUCAGACGGAAACAAUAGUGAUGAUCUGUGUGAACCCCCCCCCCCCCUCUAAGGUAUAAUAUUCUUUUGGUUUUAAUUGAAUAAAGUGUCACUGGUUGUGUGUGUAUUGGUUUUAUUUUAAUUAAGUGCUACUGUUGUGUAUUAGUUUUGAAUUGAAGCUUUAUUGAUGUUGGUAGGAGUAAUUGAGUUGUUGUGAUUAACAUCUUGUACAGGGAAUGAAGGGCCUAAAAAGAAAGCGUCCAUCUAUUGGAGGUGGAGUCUCCAGUAGAACUAGAGCUAGAGAGGCAGUAUCAAAUGGGAAUGAGCCGGUUAGAGAAGAGAGUAAUCCAGUGAGAGGAACGACUGUAGUUUCGCUCUCACUUGAUACCGAAACUGAAGGCAUGUCUGUUGUUUCCUCCAAGGUAAUUUUUGCAUUCAUUUUAAUCAUUCAUUUUAUUAAUCUUACUAGUAAAAAAUGACUAAUACAUAUAUAUUUUGAUUGCAGGAAAGGCAACCACCACAACCCCUUGAAAUGUACUUCAAGAACACACAAUACCUGAAAACUUGCAAGAUUCAGACCAAGUGCUGUGUGAAGAAGACAGUUGAUGUGAUUAAGGAACUUAAGGAGGAGGUCGGCUGGUUCACAAGUCAUCCUCAGUUUUGUCAUUUCUUCCACAUGCCUGUGAAGAAUUCCUGAAGCUCUAAGGAAUGUGGAUGUUACUGCUGCGCACCAUUCGUAUUGAAGGAGAAGAUGCUGCAUGGUUUGCGGUGAAUAGUGUGCCCAUCCGCUACUCUAUAAGGGAGCAUGCCCUCAUCUCUGGCUUGGACAGCCAUGAGUAUCCGAGUGGACAUUUGAAGCUCGGGGGUACUAAGUUUGUGGAUUAUUACUUUGGUAAUAAGAAGAAGAUCACCAUAGAAGAUGUGAAGCAGAAGCUGCAAUCUAUGGGGACGGCAUGUAAUGAUAGAUUGAAGAUGGCUGUCCUGUUCUUCCUUGGUCGGGUUAUCAGAGGAAAGACGAAGGAUUCUGCAGCAUUAGACUCGUUCAUCUUAAGGAUAAUGGACGAUUUGGAUGUUUGCAGAAAAUUUUCUUGGGGUCGUCUAACAUUUGAGGAUGCAAUAAAGGAGAUUAAGCAUGUAAUGGAGCUUCUGAAGGGUGAAGUGCACUAUGCAACCGAAUUUAAUGGAUUCAUAAUUCCAUUAGAGGUAAAGCAUACAAUUUAGCACGAAGUGAAAUUUUUGUUAUUUAUAACUGAAAAUCUGACACUGUGACACUUCAUUUGUGUAGGUUUUGGCUUUUGAGUGUAUUCCUAAGCUGGAGAAAAAAAUUUGAAUAUCUUCAGACGGCGCCAGUGGAGAUUGUCCUAGGAUGUGCACGAGUCGGUUUACAAAGAGUAGCAUGAAGGGUUAUCCUUUGAAAGAUGCAUAUGUUGCGGUUGGAAAGACAAAUGUAUAUCUUUAUUUCAUUUAGUAGAAAAUAGCAGAAUAUUUAAACUGAUAUUUCUGAAUGUUUUAUUUUCAGGUUAUUAACAGUGUGUUGGUUCCAACGGUGGAUGAGGAAACUUUGCUGGCUCGUAUCAUUGAUCUGGAGCCAGAGUAUCACCGUGAGGGUAGCACAAGUGAUAGGUGGAACUACUGGCUAAAUGUGAAGCAGAAGAAGAUUUGGUGGAAAGAACUUUAUGAGUCAGAUGUUGCUGCACGAAAGUUUACAAAGACAGAAGAAAAAGAAACAGUGACGAUUGUAGAAGGUUCAUCUUCUAAUUCUGGUUUGGAGUCGAUGUUGAAAGGUGUGGAAGAGAGGAUUGUGGAGGCCAUGGAAGAAGAAUUUUCUGGAAUUAAUUUAACGGUAGAGACAAAGCUGGAGGCUAUGAACUGAACUAUGGGUAAACUUGAGAAGAACCAGCGAGUUUUGAAGAAAAAAGCCAAGAAAAUAGAAGACAUGUUGACUUCUAUUGAAAGCAAGAGAAAUGAGGAUGAGAAAUAUAGACAGUGGAAUGAUUUUGAUUAUGGUAGAGAUCAUGGGAAGGAUAGAGAGAUGGUUGAGGCAGAGAAGGAUAAAAAGAAGGCUGAAACAGGGAAGAAAAACAGUGAGAAUGGUGAGAAAGACGAGGAAAACAAUGGGAAAGAUGAGGAAGACGAGGAAAACAGUGAAAAGAGUGAGAAAGACGAGGAAAACAGUGAGAAGGGUGAAGAAGAGGAAGAGCAAGAACCUUAAAAAGACAAAGAAAACAGUGACUCUGUUGAGAAAGACGAAAAAAACGUGGAGGAAUCAGAUGAAGAAGAUUCUCUGUUAAGGCUUCAUGAAAGAGUGAGAGUACAAGCGGAAGAAUUUUGGAGGACAACUGAUGAUGAGUCUAACGAUGAGAAAAAGGCUGAGAAAGAUGGUGAGAAAGAGGCUGAGAAAGAAGUUCAAGAAGAGAAAGAGGCUGAGAAAGAAGAAUUCAAGGGAACUCCUACCUCUACCGGAGUAGUAAUCAUUACACCAUGUGGUAGAACUAAGGAAGCAGAUGCGAGGAAAGUAAACACUACACCACCAGAGAUUGUUGUGGUAAUUAUAUAAGAAAGGAAAAAACCAGUGAACAAGAAGCCAUGGUAACUGAGCAAGAAGCUAUUCAGAUUGAGAUUGUUGAGCUAGCUGAGAAAGAGGCUAAGGUAGAAGUUAUUCAUACAGAGCAAGAAGUUAUUCAGACUGAGAUUGUUGAGAAAGAGGCUGAGGUUACUGAGAAAGAUGUUGAGGUAGCUGAGAAAGAGGAUCAAGAUGUGGAUGAAGAGGAGGAAAAAGCAGAGGAAAGAAGUUUUUCCUCCUCUUCAUCCACAUCUUGAUCCUCUUUCUCAGCUACCUCAGCAUCUUUCUCAGUAAUCUCAGCCUCUUUCUCAACAAUCCCAGUCUGAAUAACUUCUUGCUCUGUCUGAAUAGCUUCUAUCUCAGCCUCUUACUCAGCUAGCUCAACAAUCUCAGUCUGAAUAGCUUCUUGCUCAGUUACCAUGGCUUCUUGUUCAGUGGUUUUUUCCUCUAUUACCACAACAAUCUCUGGUGGUGUAGUGUUUACUUUCCUCGCAGCUGCUACUUUAGUUCUACCAUGUGGUGUAAUGAUUACUAACCCGGUAGAGGUAGGAGUUCCCUUAGAUUCUUCUUUCUCAGCCUCUUUCUCUUCUUUCUCUUCUUUCUCAGCCUCUUUCUCACCAUCUUUCUCAGCCUCUUUCUCUUCUCGAACCUCUUUCUCACCAUCUUUCUCACCCUCUUCCUCAGCCUCUUUCUCAACCUCUUUCUCAGCCUCUUUCUCAUCGUCAGACUCAUCAUCAAUUGUCCUCCAGAAUUCUUCUGCUUGUACACUCACUCUUUCAUGAAGCCUUAACAGAGAAUCUUCUUCAUAUGAUUCUUCCACGUGUUUUUGUCUUUUUCAACAGAGUUACUGUUUUCUUUGUCUUUUUCAUGUUCUUGCUCUUCCUCUUCUUCACCCUUCUCAUUGUUUUCCUCGUCUUUCUUACUCUUUUCACUGUUUUCCACGUCUUCCUCAUCUUUCCCACUGUUUUCCUCGUCUUUCUCACUGUUUUUCUUCCUUGUCUCAGCCUUCUCUUUAUCCUUCUCUGCCUCAGCCAUCUCUCUAUCCUUCCCAUGAUCUCUACCAUAAUCAAAAUCAUUCCACUGUCUAUAUUUCUCAUCCUCAUUUCCCUUGCUUUCAAUAGAAGUCAACCUGUCUUCUAUUUUCUUGGCAUUUUUCUUCAAAACUCGCUGGUUCUUCUCAAGUUUACCCAUAGUCCAGUUCAUAGCUUCCAGCUUUGUCUCUACCGUUAAAUUAAUUCCAGAAAAUCCUUCUUCCAUAGCCUUCACAAUCCUGUUUUCCACACCUUUCAACAUCGAUUCCAAACAAGAAUUAGAAGAUGAACCUUCUACAAUCGUCACCUUUUCUUUGUCUUCCGUCUUUGUAAACUUUCGUGUAGCAACAUCUGACUCAUAAAAUUAUUUCCACCAAAUCUUCUUCUGCUUCACAUUUAGCCAGUGUGCUACCCUCACGAUGAUACUCUGGCUCCAGAUCAAUGAUACGAGCCAGCAAAGUUUCCUCAUCCACCGUUGGAAUCAACACACUAUUAAUAACCUGAAAAUAAAACAUUCAGAAAUAUCAGUUUAAAUAUUCUGCUAUUUUCUACUAAAUAAAAUAAAGAUAUACCUUUGUUUUUCCAACCGCAGCAUAUGUAUCUUCCAAAGAAUAACCUUUCAUGCUACUCUUUGUAAACCGACUCUUGCACAUCCUAGGACAAUCUCCACUGGCGCCGUCUGAAGAGAUUCAAAAUUUUUUUUCCAGCUUAGGAAUACACUCAAAAGCCAAAACCUACACAAAUGAAGUGUCACAGUGUCAGAUUUUCGGUUAUAAAUAACAAAAAUUUCACUUCAUGCUAAAUUGUAUGCUUUACCUCUAAUGGAAUUAUGAAUCCAUUAAAGUCGGUUACAUAGUGCACUUCACCCUUCAGAAGCUCCAUUACAUGCUUAAUCUACGUUAUUGCAUCCUUAAAUGUUAGACGACCCCAAGGAAAUUUUCUGCAAACAUCCAAAUCGUCCACUAUCCUUAAGAUGAACGGGUCUAAUGCUGCAGAAUCCUUCGUCUUUCCUCUGUUAACCCGACCAAGGAAGAACAGGACAGCCAUCUUCAAUCUAUCAUUACAUGCCGUCCCCGUAGAUUGCAGCUUCUGCUUCACAUCUUCUAUGGUGAUCUUCUUCUUAUUACCGAAGUAAUAAUCCACAAUUUUAGUACUCCCGAGCUUCAAAUGUCCACUCGGAUACUCAUGGCAGUCCAAGCCAGAGAUGAGGUCAUGCUCCUCAUAGAGUAGCGGAUGGACACACCAUUCACCGCAAACCAUGCAGCAUCUUCUCCUUCAAUACGAAUGGUGCGCAGCAGUAACAUCCACAUUCCUUGGAGCUUCAGGAAUUCUUCAUCAGGCAUGUAGAAGAAAUGACAAAACUGAGAAUGGCUUGUGAACCAGCCGACCUCCUCCUUAAGUUCCUUAAUCACAUCAACUGUCUUCUUCACACGGCACUUGGUUUGAAUCUUGCAAGUCUUCAGGUACUGGUGUUCUUGAAGUACAUUUCAAGGGGCUGUGGUGGUUGCAUUUCCUGCAAUCAAAAUAUAUAUGUAUCAGUCAUUUUCUACUAGUAAGACUAAUAAUAUGAAUGAUUAAAAUGAAUGCAAAAAUUACCUUGGAGGAAACAUCAGACAUGCCUUCAGUUUCGGUAUCAAGUGAGAGCGAAACUACAGUCGUUCCUCUCACUGGAUUGCUCUCUUCUCUAACCGGCUCAUUCCCAUUUGAUACCGCCUUUCUAGCUCUAGUUCUACUGAAGACUCCACCUCCAGUAGAUGGACACUUUCUUUUUAGGCCCUUCAUUCCCUGUACAAGAUGUUAAUCACAACAACUCAAUUACUCCUACCAACAUCAAUAAAACUUCAAUUCAAAACUAAUACACAACAGUAGCACUUAAUUAAAAUAAAACCAAUACACACACAACCAGUGACACUUUAUUCAACUAAAACCAAAAGAAUAUUAUACCUUAGAGGGGGGUUCACAUAGAUCAUCACUAUUAUUUCCGUCUGAUAGCUCUUCCACAUGCUCUUCAGCAACAUGAGUUGUUGUGGAUUUUCCACUUUUCUUUGCAGUCUUUUUUUUUUCCUCCACGGUUACCUGCCAUUAUCUACUUCCUCUGAACAUCCAAAAACAACACAACAACACACAUUUAGACAUAAUCUAGAAUUAUUACUUUGCCUUAUCUCAAACCUUUCAUUCACUCAAUAAAUCACCUACUCCAUUUCAGUUUACAUUUAUCCUAACAGUCAAAGAGAUUUCGGUUUCAUAUCACAAACAAUAAACCAGGAAAACCAAUUGGAUCCAGUAAGAAAGAACCCA